UCUCGAUAGCGUAAAAGUUAACGGAAAUUUGUAUGGAGUUCGAACGUUUGCCACAUUUGCCACUAGGGGCGCUUUUCCAACUGUAUUCAAAUUUGAGUUAACUUUUACGCUAUCGA
rnacentral:pre_miRNA from 9 species